GGGGGCGAUCUGGCUUCGACAGGAUGAGAGGAAUUAAGACGGCAUGCCAAGGGUAGCGGAUACCUUGUAAAUCCAUCCGUUUCUAAACUUAAGCGCCAAUCCAACUUUGGCUUUUAGCUACAACUAGUAGCUACGUUCCCUUGCUCUCUGCUCUAUGGAGCAAGAAGGGCGUCAGAAAAUAGAGCUAGCUCAUCUUCAAACAGGGGGGAGAUGAGCGAAACUAUACCUGCUAGUCUCAUUUUCAUCCCGUCUACAGGAGGAAAAGAAGACGAAAACUAAAAUGUAGACUAAACAUGAAGAUGUCUUAGUUUUUCUGUUCCUGGACGAGGGUUCGAUUCCCUCCGCCUCCACCA
rnacentral:tmRNA from 1 species